rnacentral:rRNA from 1 species
UACAGAGGUGGCAAGCGUUGUUCGGAAUUACUGGGCGUAAAGGGCGCGUAGGCGGCCUCUUUAGUCAGACGUGAAAUCCCCCGGCUUAACCUGGGAACUGCGUCUGAUACUGGGAGGCUAGAGUUCGGGAGAGGGAUGUAGAAUUCCAGGUGUAGCGGUGAAAUGCGUAGAUAUCUGGAGGAAUACCGGUGGCGAAGGCGGCUCACUGGACCAUUACUGACACUGAGAUGCGAAAGCGUGGGGAGCAAACAGG